UCAACGUUUGUUGUUUCACGAGUCUGUUCAAGGCCUUCCACCUACCCGUCCACCCCUAUUGCACUUGACUUUCAGUACAUUGUGCUGCUUGGGGUAUUGUGCUCAUAGAUUUGAAGCAGGAAAGGGAAGCCCUGUUAUCAGGCCACCGUAGGAAACUUUCCGUGACACUUUUCGAGUUACAGCCUACGACCGAAGACGCAAAAACGCCAUUAGAACCCAAGACCAAUGGCUCGAGAAAGCCUUCUUUGCUUCAUUCUUGUGGCAGCCGCAUUCGUUUGGGGACGUGCAGGAAGCACUCUCCAUAAAGGUGAUAAGCCCAGCUACUGCUACUUGCCUUCAGAGUCCGGCCCGUGUUACGCAUACUUCCUGAAAUAUCAUUAUUCAGCGGAUGUCCGCGAUUGCGUCGAGUUUGUCUACGGCGGGUGCCAAGGCAACGACAACCGGUUCGACUCCUAUGAACAAUGCGCACGCCGUUGUCGCGGCUGAAGUCAUACAGUUCACAUUUCACAAAACCGCGGCUGCAGGCACUGAACAGCGUGACUGGCCGUCGGUGUUACGGCCGCGUAGACCAUCCCAAAACUUGUACUUAUUGCAUUAGUUAUUUCUUUCGUAUGCUCGUGUUACACGUAAAGAACUUGUAGCAACCACAGUGGUUCGCCAGUUUGCGUUGACCUAAUAAACUUACACCUACUCACUCA